CUUAAUUAUUGGAUAUUUGGUGUUUUGGAUGAAAUAUGUUAACUGAUUGUUAUGUUUAAUUUCAAAAUUUUACAUACUUUAUUGAUUUUUGGUGUUGUGAUAAGCUGAAUGUUUAGUUGUACACUUGUAAUGAACUUCAUAGCUGUUGCAACUCCACAUCUGGGUUCACAGAGGUCAUAGACAAGUGGAUUCCUCAGCUAUACUUGCAUAAGUAUUUUUCCUCAACUCAAACUGUUAUUUCUGAUAUGAAUUUCUCUAUUUUAGAGGGACUUAGAUUGUAAAAUUUGUGCCUGCUACUUGUCGCAGACAAGAUGGAUAUAAGUUCUGCCUCUAGAAAGCUUGAUUUUCAAUUUUUAGCUCAGGCAAUGCACACUCAAAGAUCGCCAAACUUUAGUUAGAUACCUUCCCUCUCCUGACACAUAGUCUUUUAGUAAUCAUAUAAAUAUCUAGGGAAUCGAUUUGACUAAAGAACGAUAUGAUGCAAAUGGUGGGAGACUGCAGUAGAGCUAUAGAUUUCUGGUUUACGGGUGGCUGGCCUUAUUUAAGAAUGUUUCACUACAACAAAAACAUUGAUUAACAGCGCCUAAUUAAUAGCGUUUUUUGAAAAACGCUAUUAAUGGAAUCAAAUAAUAGCACUGUAUUUUAUAAUGCUGUUAAAACAAGCAAUCUUAAUUUCUACCCUAAUUAUAAUACAACGCUUUUCUUUAAACGUUGUGAUUAAUUGUUACUAAAUUAUAUAAAAAUAAUGAAGUUAUACUCUUAACCAAAAAAAAAAAGCCUCCGGUCAUCUCCUCCUCUCACCGACCUGUUCUCUCAUCUCCUUCGGCCACAGUUAAGGAUCCCUUUUUCCCACGUUCUCUCAUUUUCUUCAUCUCUUUCGCUCGAUCUCUCACUUCCUUCGACAAUCUCCUCAUCUCACCGGCCUGUUCUUAUGAGAAAUCCCCAUUUCUCAACGGAGUUGCAAUUUUGUUCAACUCCCAAUUUGUUUGCAGUUCGUAUUUCUCUCACUCUAUCUCGUUAUCUCCUCCUCUUUCAGUUUUUCCAUAUUCUGGGUUCAAAAUGUGUAAUUUGGAUUUACGUUUCUAUUUGGAAAAAUGGACGGCUCAAGGAAUAUGGAUAGGUUUGCUUUUGACAAAAGGACAAUCAAAAUGGAUGAUCUUGCUACCAUUCUCGUGACAUCCGAUUCAUUCUCUUCAUUUAUGAGGUUUUCCAUGGAGCAGCUCCGCGAAGAUACAUCCAACUGACCACAUGUCAACAGAAGGACCAUACUUUGUGGUACCAAGGAGCAACUCUGGAGGUCUAUACCACAAGAGCACUUUUUGGUUUUCGAACUGAAAAAGGAUUGUUGAAGAAAAUUAAAAUGAGCACCAAGUGGAUACAGAUACAAUGUCCUCGGUAAAAGAAUGUCAUGGAUUCUGGAUAUUAUGUCAUGAGAUACAUGAAUGAGAUCAUCGACCAUAAGCAAACUCGAAUAUUUAAAGAUUACUUUCAUGAUUGCAAUGUUCCGAAUUAUGAUCAAGGACAAAUAGAUGAAGUCAGAGCUCAAUGGACGCGUCAUGUUCUUCUCGUGUGAAUAUUGUGAUGCAUUAAUUAUGUUUUUCGACUAGAAUUUCUCUAGAACGUUUUAAUUUUAUUUUAUUGGUUUGAAAUUAAAAGAAGUACUAUAUGACAAGGAUACUUCUUUCUGUUUUCUAGUGUGUUUUUAUUGUACUGUGUAUUUAGGCAUAUAUGAUUUUAAGUUAUGUACGAGACAUCGAGACGUUUAUUUGAUAUGACAGAAAUGAAGUUGGAUCUUAUAUAUAUUCAAUUUGAUUACUCUG